GGGGAGAUGCCGGAGUGGUCUAACGGGCUAGGCUUAGAACCUAGUGGCUCACGCCUUCAGGGGUUCAAAUCCUCUUCUCCCCA
rnacentral:tRNA from 1 species